GCUGGGCAUGGUGGUGCAUGCCUGUAAUCCCAACAUCUUGGGGGAGGCUAAGGCAGGAGGAUUGAGAGUUCAAAGCCAGCCUCAGCAACUUAACAAGACCCUGUCUUUA
rnacentral:sRNA from 1 species